UUAUGUUGAAGAUAUUGAACAGGUGUUUCUUUUGUUCAAUGGAAGUGAAACAAACAAAACGAACUGGUUUAAUAAGAGUCGGCUUAUUAAUAGUAGUUACAGUGACCUGAAUGAGGAAACAAACAAUUCUUCCUUUUCUGUGGAUGGAAUUAACGGAUCAGCAAGUAACUAUGAAUAUAUCGGUGUCUAUAGUAGACGUUUUUACAUAAGAGAUAAAACACAAGCUGGUGACUGCAUUGAAUCUGAUUAUGGUUGGUUACUUGUUGGAGAUGAACAAGGCAACUGCGACUAUGAGAGGAAUAUAACAGACAAGCCUUUCAUUCUGUUCAGCAAUCCUCCAAACAUUUCUAAAGCUGUGAACCAUACAUUGGCGGACAGUUUCGCAAUAUUUAUAAAGUUUUCAAGUAAAGCCAAUUUUUACGGCAAUUCGCAAUGUAUAACUAACACUGCACAUACAUCAACCAACCUUGAAGACACAUCAUCGACAAACCCUUCUGAGAUAUCAUAAACAAACCCUUCGCAGAUAUCACCAACAAACCCUUCGCAGAUAUCAUCAACAAACCCUUCGCAGAUAUCACCAACAAACCCUUCGCAGAUAUCAUCAACAAACCCUUCGCAGACAUCAACAACAAAUCCUGCGAAGACAUCAUCAUCAAACCCUGCACAGACAUCAUCAUCAAACCAUGCACAGCCAUCAUCAACAUCUACAACAAUAAGAAGUGAAGAUUUGCAAAACAAAAUAGACAAGAUCAAAAUAGAGCUGACAGUGCAGAGAAAAUCAACACAAAAGUACAGGAGAUCUCUGACGAGUGCCCCAGAUGAGAGAACGUCAUCCAAACUCAUGGGAAUGAUUGGUGGAACUUUCAUAAUCUCUGUGAUUGGAUUAAUAGUGCUACUGGACUGUGCAACCUGUAAUAUGGGUAGAAAAGGUAAAGCAAAGAAAGGGGCCACUAAGCACAAUUAAAGAAGUGAGAAUGGUCCUACAAGUAUGUUGAAGAAGGAUAUAAAAAUGAAAGAUUUAUUUUUAUUGAACAAAACAUUCAUCUUUUAAUUUCCAACAUUGUGUCAUAUAUAUAAUAUAGAUAUUCAUCAUUUUAACAUUAAAACGAAGGAAGUUUUCUGU